rnacentral:rRNA from 1 species
UGGGGAAUAUUGCACAAUGGGCGAAAGCCUGAUGCAGCAACGCCGCGUGAGUGAUGAAGGCCUUCGGGUUGUAAAGCUCUGUCUUUUGGGACGAUAAUGACGGUACCAAAGGAGGAAGCCACGGCUAACUACGUGCCAGCAGCCGCGGUAAUACGUAGGUGGCAAGCGUUGUCCGGAUUUACUGGGCGUAAAGGAUGCGUAGGCGGAUUUUUAAGUGAGAUGUGAAAACCCUAAGCUUAACUUGGGGACUGCAUUUCAUACUGGAAAUCUAGAGUGCGGGAGAGGAGAAUGGAAUUCCUAGUGUAGCGGUGAAAUGCGUAGAGAUUAGGAAGAACACCAGUGGCGAAGGCGAUUCUCUGGACCGUAACUGACGCUGAGGCAUGAAAGCGUGGGUAGCAAACAGGAUUAGAUACCCUGGUAGUCCACGCCGUAAACGAUGAGUACUAGGUGUAGGAGGUAUCGACCCCUUCUGUGCCGCAGUUAACACAAUAAGUACUCCGCCUGGGAAGUACGAUCGCAAGAUUAAAACUCAAAGGAAUUGACGGGGUCAUA